rnacentral:rRNA from 1 species
UGAGUAACCUGCCCUUCACUCUGGGAUAACUCCGGGAAACCGGGGCUAAUACUGGAUAUGACUCGAACAGGCAUCUGUUUCGGGUGGAAAGAUUUAUCGGUGAGGGAUGGACUCGCGGCCUAUCAGCUUGUUGGUGAGGUAAUGGCUCACCAAGGCGACGACGGGUAGCCGGCCUGAGAGGGCGAUCGGCCACACUGGGACUGAGACACGGCCCAGACUCCUACGGGAGCA